UAAUCGGAUAUUCCCAUUACAAAUUGCAUUUCAUGUGACAUCUGUAUUUCAGGUAGCCAUCUAUGUAGGCUCCCUGCAGACUGGUCCGUCUUUUUUUCAAUGUUUUUUAAAUGCCAAUGCUAUUUAAAGGCUUUGUUGUAUUUGAGAUUCUACUACAAUGAGAGGAAUUAUUUUAAAGUGAUGUCCCCAAAGCCUGGCCUCAAAGUUUGGUCAUCUAGCACUUUAGUGUUAUUCUUUUGGACAUAUUAUAUAAUCAACAACAUUAUAGCCUGUUGUCAGGUACAAAAUAUAUUCAUGUAAUCUGAAUAUGCUGAUUGCAAAACUCUAAUUAAGGGGUGUUGGUUUGGGGUGCUGGGCCAUGUGUUUGUUUUCUGCCUGGGAACUUCCUGCAGCUGAGGGAGCAACUUCAUAGCUAGAUGGAGAGGGGAAAGGUCAGGGGAGCACGGAGGUAUCAGCAGCAGAAUGGAUAGCCCGGCACUUGAACAGCAAUAGAUACAGUUCACAUAAUUGGCUUCCUUUGAUCACUUCCCUGACAAGUGACAGAAAUCAAGCUGCUUUCUUGGCUGCUGAACUAUCACCAUGUUUUCCUGUGACACAGAGAUGAUGUGACCUUCAUCUCGAUGUAACUAUGGCAUUUGGACUGCUCACUCCCUGCCUCAUGGAUAAUUGUAGGGGCCAUUCUCUUUUUAGGGCUAAAAGGGACAUGCAUGAGCCAAUCACCCCAUUCCUUUUGCAGAAAUUCUCUUAACCCUGACUCUUAACCAAACCAGAAUGAUUCAAAAAGUGUUAGCAAAGCAGGUGUUCAGAAAAGAUCACAUUUUGUCUGGCAGUGUGACAGGGAUUCUGCACAGCAGGAAAGGCAGAGGACAGCUCUGGGAGUGGAGCGUGUAAGACUGGUGCUACUUACCAUUAUGCACGCCAGGUAACUGGUUAUGGCCCUGGCGGCUUUGGUACCACUAGGACUUCUUUCUUUGAAAGGACAUUUUAAAUACUUCAGAAUAUAUCAAGUGGCAAAAUUAGUAUAUUUGAAAUUUUAAAAGAAACCACACUUUUGGGGAACUUUAUAAAACCUUUAUUUAGCAUCAGGUAGAUUAUAUCAUUUGUUAACUUCAAGACAGCAAUUAAAAUCAUGUACUGGCAGCUACCUAAGGCCCCUGGGAGCAAUAUGUCUGUCUGGGGUUUGGGUGGAUAAAUACUAUAAGACUAAUGUACUCCAAUUAAAGGGGUAAGGCUACUGUACAAGUCUCCACACAUAUUUUAAGUACACAGGUGCCUCGCAAACUUGAAAUGCAGAAGAUAUCCUUUUAUAUAAUUUGGUACUUACAUAAAUGAGUGCAACUUAAUUUCUCUCGUGGUAUUUGCCACUGGAAGUGGAAGCAUUGAACAAGGUUUGUCAUUAUGCAAUGGUCGUUAAAAUCUCUAUUUCUAGGGCAUUUUUGUGACUUGCUAGAUUUUAUACAUAUUUUCAGUUCAAAUGUAAACAAACAUUUUCAUGAUACUGACUGUAGAAAAGUAAAUUCAGAACACUAAGUAAACGAAAUACUUUACUAGUUUAAUUCUCUAGAAUUUUCAAAUCAGAAAAACCUAUUCUGAAUAUUCAGGCUUUUUUCUUGUUGGCAGUUGGAAGAGGUAAAAUUGGGAAGAUUAGUGUGAAUGAAAGCCAUUUUAUCAAUGGAGUCUUCACAAAAGACCUGUACAUUAGACUUCUACAUUUGAGCACAUAAACAUUGUAUAGGAGGAGAGUUCUAAAUAUGUCAAAGGUUACAGCUAAAACAUUCAAGGAUGACACCAUAAAAAUAUUCCCCAGCAGUUUUACCUCUAUA